rnacentral:rRNA from 1 species
UGGGGAAUCUUGGACAAUGGGCGCAAGCCUGAUCCAGCCAUGCCGCGUGCAGGAUGAAGGCCCUCGGGUUGUAAACUGCUUUUGUACGGAACGAAAAGCCUCUUUCUAAUAAAGAGGGGUGAUGACGGUACCGUAAGAAUAAGCACCGGCUAACUACGUGCCAGCAGCCGCGGUAAUACGUAGGGUGCGAGCGUUAACCGGAAUUACUGGGCGUAAAGCGUGCGCAGGCGGUUUUGUAAGACAGAUGUGAAAUCCCCGGGAUUAACCGGGGGACUGCGUUUGUAACUGUAAGGCUGGAGUACGGCAGAGGGGGGUGGAAUUCCACGUGUAGCGGUGAAAUGCGUAGAGAUGUGGAGGAACACCGAUGGCGAAGGCAGCCCCCUGGGCCUGUACUGACGUUCAUGCACGGAAGCGUGGGGAGCAAACA